AUUGAACGCUGGCGGCAGGCCUAACCCAUGCAAGUCGAACGAGUGGCGGACGGGUGAGUAAUGUCUGGGAAACUGCCCGAUGGAGGGGGCUAACUACUGGAAACGGUAGCUAAUACCGCAUACCAUCGGAUGUGCCCAGAUGGGAUUAGCUAGUAGGUGGGGUAAAGGCUCACCUAGGCGACGAUCCCUAGCUGGUCUGAGAGGAUGACCAGCCAAACAGGAACGGAGACACGGUCCAGACUCCUACGGGAUGCAGCAGUGUGGAAUAUUGUUCAAAGGACGCAAGCCUGAUACAGCCAUGCCGCGUGUAAGAAUAAGGACGUCGGGUUGUAAAGUACUUUCAGCGGAGAGGCGUUACCCGCAGAAGAAGCACCGACUAACUCCGUGCGAGCGGGCGCGGUAAUUG
rnacentral:rRNA from 1 species